rnacentral:rRNA from 1 species
AUGGCCGAGGGCACCGACACGGUGCGCGCGCCCGGCGACGCGGAGGAGAUGGAGAAGGGAGAGAUCGCAGGCGCCGCCGCCGGUGCCGACGGCGACUCCGCCGCGCCCCAGCCGGUGGAGCCCACCUGGGCUUUCUGGAUCGGCAACGGCAACCCGCAGGAGGAUUCCGCCGGCCGGGGGAACACCGUCCACACCUUCUCCACCGUCGACGACUUCUUGAGCCUUUACAAUAAUAUCCUCCACCCUAGUAAAUUGGGUGUGGGAGCUGACCUCCAUUGCUUCAAGAAUAAGAUUGAGCCGAAAUGCGAAGGCCCCAUAUGUGCUAAUGGAGGUGCAUGGACCAUCAGUUGUGGCGAAGGGAAAUCGCAGCCAUUGUGGUUGGAUACACUACUGGCAUUGAUUGGUGGACAAUUCGAAUAUGGUAAUGAAAUUUGUGGAGCGGUCCUUAGCGUGUGUGGGAAGCAGGAAACAAUAGCUAUAUGGAUUAAAGAUGCUACUAACGAAGCUGCUCAGCUAAGCAUUGGCAAGCAGUGGAAGGAAUUUCUGGAGUACAAGGACUCAGUUGAGUUCAUUGUUCAUGAUAGUGAUGCAACGGCAGUACAAUGCUGGUCUUCCACGUUUCCCGAUGAUCCCCUUGACGUCAUCUACAACAAGGUCCCCAGUCACUGCAGCCGCGUGCGCUUUGCUGCCGUCUGCAGAUCGUGGUGCACUGCAGCUUCGCGGCACCCCGCGCUGCCUGAACUCCCGUGGCUGCUCCUCUCACCACGCGACCGUGACACAACGAAGCGCCUCUACUGUCCUGAGGACAGCAAGAUCCUGUGCAUCUCGCUCCCGAGCGAUUUCAUCGGCAACUGGUUCGUCGGCUGUCAUGGUGGUGGCUGGGUUGCAUCAUUCGAACCACCACCGUUCAGGAUCUUGAACAUUUUCUCCAGUGUUGAGGUUGCGCUCUCCGAGAAACAGAAGGGGAUCGUUUGCCCAGGCCGCCUUGGCCAGAUCAUCAUUUGGAAAAUCAUCUUCUCCAAACCACCCACCUCAAGUGACUGUAUCAUUGCUGCCAUCACCGACAAUCACGGCAUCGCGCUCUGCAGGGUUGGGUGUCCGAACGGUGGGUGGACAACAAAAGGACAUGUAAGCUACACCAUGGAGCUUGCAGACAUCGCCUUUUGCAACGGUAAGCUCUAUGGUCUCACACGGGACAGAUGGGAACUUGUCAAGUUUGAGAUCGGUGCUGAUGAAGAUGGUGCGCCCGUGGUCACAGCCGUUGAUCGGCUAGUGGUCACUGUCGAGCACCAGCAGCCCCCCAGUGUCUGGGCCAACCGGGUGGAUGCCAGCUACAUUUUUGAGCUACACGGCAAGCUUGCGACGGCGGUGAGGUCCCCAUGGUCACCCAACCUCAGACCUUUCUUCAAAGUGUUCGAACUUGUUGACAUCGACACCAGCGAGGGGAUGGCACAUGGCACACACAAAUGGACAGAGGUGAUGAGCUUGGGUGACUUUGCCCUAUUCCUGGGUCCAAACAGCUCCAAGGCGGUGCAUGUGUCAGCAGACAGGCGCGGCGGUGUGAAGAGAAACCACAUCUACUACUCCUACCAUCGCCGCUUAGCACAGAAGGAGGUCCUUCUCAGCACUGACCUGGUGUUCCUGACAAGCUCCAACGCUGAUGGUGAUUCCGUGUACUACAGGGAAGAUGAAAGCUUAUCCGCAGCCGUGGGCGGGGUUCAUAGGAUUGGGGCAGUAGGAUACUAUGUCAGGGGUAGCCCUAAUCCUCCAGUGUGGCUUCUCCCCCUAGCAUAG